GUGCUCGCUUCGGCAGCACAUAUACUAAAAUUGGAACAAUACAGAGAAGAUUUGCAUGGCCCCUGCACAACGAUGACACGCAAAGUGGUAUCUCGGAAAUACCCCAUUCCU